GGGGUUGUGGCUCAGCGAUAAAGCGCCCACCUAGUGCAUGUGAGGCACUGGGUUCGAUCCUCAGCACCACA
rnacentral:tRNA from 1 species